rnacentral:lncRNA from 1 species
UUGGAUCAUCAUCAUGAAAGAUCAAGAGGUGAGGCGUGAUGGACAUGUGAUUAGCAUGUGAUGUUGACUUGGUCAAAAUAUGGCACCACAUGAAAGGACAUAUCAUUUGAUACACCUCCUCCCUUGAUCUGCACCUCCUCUUAUUUGAUAUGGCCCUUUAGAUGAUGCCCUUUCAUGAGAGGAUGUGUGGAUGGGAUGCAUCCCUUGGAGAUGCAUCCCUACACCUAUUAUAAAUAGGUUAGCACUCCAUGGGUUUCAUCAUUCCAAUUCCACCCCACUC